rnacentral:rRNA from 1 species
UACGAAGGGGGCUAGCGUUGCUCGGAAUUACUGGGCGUAAAGCGCGCGUAGGCGGCCCGGUAAGUCCGCUGUAAAAGUCAAAGGCUCAACCUUUGAAUGUCAGUGGAUACUGCCGGGCUAGAGUCCGGAAGAGGCGAGUGGAACUCCUGGUGUAGCGGUGGAAUGCGCAGAUAUCGGGAAGAACACCCGUGGCGAAGGCGGUUCUCUGGGACGGUACUGACGCUGAGACGCGAAAGCGUGGGGAGCGAACAGG